rnacentral:rRNA from 1 species
ACGCUCGACACCUACGGGGGCAGCAGUGGGGAAUAUUGCACAAUGGAGGAAACUCUGAUGCAGCGACGCCGCGUGAGCGAAGAAGUAUUUCGGUAUGUAAAGCUCUAUCAGCAGGGAAGAAAAAGGACGGUACCUGACUAAGAAGCUCCGGCUAAAUACGUGCCAGCAGCCGCGGUAAUCUGAGCGGGCUGGCAAGGC